rnacentral:rRNA from 1 species
UACGUAGGUGGCAAGCGUUGUCCGGAAUUAUUGGGCGUAAAGCGCGCGCAGGCGGUUAUGUAAGUCUGAUGUUAAAGCCCGGGGCUCAACCUCGGUUCGCAUUGGAAACUGCGUAACUUGAGUGCAGAAGAGGAAAGUGGUAUUCCACGUGUAGCGGUGAAAUGCGUAGAUAUGUGGAGGAACACUAGUGGCGAAGGCGACUUUCUGGUUUGUAACUGACGCUGAGGCGCGAAAGCGUGGGGAGCAAACAGG